AAUGAACGUUGGCGGCGUGGAUUAGGCAUGCAAGUCGCGCGAGAAGUUUCCUUCGGGAGACGGACAGCAGCGGAAGGGAAAGGAAUAAGUAGAAAUCUGCCCUCGGGACGGGGAUAGCGGCGGGAAACUGCCGGUAAUACCCGAUAACAUCUUUGGAUCAAAUGGUGUGAUUCCGCCUGAGGAUGAGUCUACUUCCUAUUAGCUAGUUGGUGUGGUAAUGGCUCACCAAGGCAACGAUGGGUAGCGGGUGUGAGAGCACGAUCCGCCUCACUGGGACUGAGACACUGCCCAGACACCUGCGGGUGGCUGCAGUCGAGAAUCUUCGGCAAUGGGGGAAACCCUGACCGAGCGACGCCGCGUGCGGGAUGAAGGCCCUCGGGUUGUAAACCGCUGUCGUAAGGGAACAAAUCUAAGAGGGUACUCCCUUUUAGUUGAGUGAUCUUAGGAGGAAGGACGGGCUAAGUUCGUG
rnacentral:rRNA from 1 species